GAGGAAAGGGUGAUGCAGCAAAGUAACGUAAGUAUUUCCCUCAGUUUUUGAGAACCAAGGUAUCAAUCCAGUAGGAGGCCACACACGAGUCCCUCGCACCUACACAAACAAAUAAAAUCCUCGCAACCAAUGCAAUAAAGGGGUUGUCAAUCCCUUCACGGUCACUUACGAAAGUGAGAUCUGAUAGAUAUGAUAAGAUAAUAUUUUUGGUAUUUUUAGUAUAAAUAUGCAAAGUAAAGAAAGCAAAAUAAACGGAAAAGGAAAUAGCUUGUUGACGGAAGAUUAAUAUGAUGGAAAAUAGACCCGGGGGCCAUAGGUUUCACUAGUGGCUUCUCUCAAGAGCAUAAGUAUUACGGUGGGUAAACAAAUUACUGUUGAGCAAUUGACAGAAUUGAGCAUAGUUAUGAGAAUAUCUAGGUAUGAUCAUGUAUAUAGGCAUCAUGUCCGAGACAAGUAGACCGACUCUUGCCUGCAUUUACUACUAUUACUCCACACAUCGACCGCUAUCUAGCAUGCAUCUAGAGUAUUAAGUUCAAAAGAAUAGAGUAACGCUAUAAGCAAGAUGACAUGAUGUAUAGGGAUAAACUCAUGCAAUAUGAAAUAAACCCCAUCUUGUUAUCCUCGAUGGCAACAAUACAAUAUGUGCCUUGCUGCCCCUACUGUCACUGGGAAAGGACACCGCAAGAUUGAACCCAAAGCUAAGCACUUCUCCCAUUGCAAGAAAGAUCAAUCUAGUAGGCCAAACCAAACUGAUAAUUCGAAGAGACUUGCAAAGAUAACCAAUCAUACAUAAAAGAAUUCAGAGAAGAUUCAAAUAUUGUUCCUAGAUAAACUUGAUCAUAAACCCACAAUUCAUCGGUCUCAACAAACACACCGCAAGAAGAUUACAUCGAAUAGAUCUCCACAAGAGAGGGGGAGAACUUUGUAUUGAGAUCCAAAAAGAGAGAAGAAGCCAUCUAGCUAAUAACUAUGGACCCGAAGGUCUGAAGUAAACUACUCACACUUCAUCGGAGAGGCUAUGGUGUUGAUGUAGAAGCCCUUUGUGAUCGAUGCCCCCUCCAGCGGAGCUCCGAAAAAGGCCCCAAGAUGGGAUCUCAUGGAGACAGAAAGUUACGGCGGUGGAAUUAGGGUUUUGGCUCCGUAUCUGGUAGUUUGGGGGUACGUAGGUAUAUAUAGGAGGAAGAAGUACGUUGGUGGAGCAACGUGGGCCCCACGAGGGUGGAGGGCGCGCCUGGGGGGGUAGGCGCGCCCCCUACCUCGUUACCUCCUGGUUUCUUUCUUGACGUAGGGUACAAGUCCUAUGGAUCAUGUUCGUUCCGAAAAUCACAUUCCCGAAGGUUUCAUUCCGUUUGGACUCUGUUUGAUAUUCUUUUUCUGCAAAACUCUGAAAUAGGCAAAAAGAACAAUUUUGGGCUGGGCUCCGGUUAAUAGGUUAGUCCCAAAAAUAAUAUAAAAGUGUAUAAUAAAGCCCAAUAAUGUCCAAAACAGGAUAUAAUAUAGCAUGGAACAAUAAAAAAUUAUAGAUACGUUGGAGACGUAUCAAGCAUCCCCAAGCUUAAUUCCUACUCGUCCUCGAGUAGGUAAAUGAUAAAACAGAAUUUUUGAUGUGGAAUGCUACUUGGCAUAAUUUCAAUGUAAUUCUCUUAAUUGUGGUAUGAAUAUUCAGAUCCGAAAGAUUCAAGACAAAAUUUCAAUAUUGACAUAUAAAUAAUAAUACUUCAAGCAUACUAACUAAGCAAUUAUGUCUCUUCAAAAUAACAUGGCCAAAGAAAUUUAUCCCUACAAAAUCAUAUAGUCUGGCUAUGCUCCAUCUUCACCACAGAAAGUAUUUAAAUCAUGCAUAACCUCGAUGACAAGCCAAGCAAUUGUUUCAUACUUUUGGUGUUCUCAAACUUUUUCAAUCUUCACGCAAUACAUGAGCGUGAGCCAUGGACAUAGCACUAUAUGUGGAAUAGAAUGGUGGUUCUGGAGAAGACAAAAAGGGAGAAGAUAGUCUCACAUCAACUAGGCGUAUCAACGGGCUAUGGAGGUUCCCAUUAAUAGAUAUCAGUGUGAGUGAGUAGGGAUUGCCAAGCAAUGGAUGCACUAGAGCUAUAAGUGUAUGAAAGCUCAACAAAAAGAAUUAAGUGGGUGUGCAUCCAACUUGCUUGCUCACGAAGACCUAGGGCAUUUUGAGGAAGCCCAUUAUUGGAAUAUACAAGCCAAGUUCUAUAAUGAAAAAUUCCCACUAGUAUAUGAAAGUGAUAACAUAGGAGACUCUCUAUCAUGAAGAUCAUGGUGCUACUUUGAAGCACAAGUGUGGAAAAAGGAUAGUAGUAUUGUCCCUUUUUAUAUAAAUAUUUUUUGGGCCUCCCUUUUUUUGGCCUUUCUCUUUUUUGGGACAAUACUCUAUGAAUGAUGAUCAUCACACUUCUAUUUAUUUACAACUCAAUGAUUACAACUCGAUACUAGAACAAAGUAUGACUCUAUAUGAAUGCCUCCGAUGGUAUACCGGGAUAGCAAUGAUGCAUGAGUGACUUUUACGCAAGAAUUAUGAACGGUGGCUUUGCCACAACUAAAAUGUCAACUACAUGAUGAUGCAAAGCAAUAUGACAAUGAUGAAGCGUGUCAUAACAUACGGAACGGUGGAAAGUUGCAUGGCAGUAUAUCUCGGAAUGGCUAUGGAAAUGCCAUGAUAGGUAGGUAUGGUGGCUGUUUUGAGGAAGGUAUAUGGUGGGUGUAUGAUACCGGCGAAAGGUGCGCGGUAUUAGAGAGGCUAGCAAUGGUGGAAGGGUGAGAGUGCGUAUAAUCCAUGGACUCAACAUUAGUCAUAAAGAACUCACAUGCUUAUUGCAAAAAUCUAUUAGUUAUUGAAGCAAAGUACUACGCGCAUGCUCCUAGGGGGAUAGAUUGGUAGGAAAAGACCAUCGCUCGUCCCCGACCGCCACUCAUAAGGAAGACAAUCAAUAAAUAAAUCAUGCUCCAACUUCUUCACAUAACGGUUCGCCAUACGUGCAUGCUACGGGAAUCACAAACUUCAACACAAGUAUUUCUCAAAUUCACCACUACUCAGCUAGCACGACUCUAAUAUCACCAUCUCCAUAUCUCAAAACAAUUAUCAAGUAUCAAACUUCUCAUAGUAUUCAACACACUCAUAAGAAAAAAAUAUUAAUCUUGAAUGCCUAACAUAAUUAAAGCAAAUUACCACGCUGUUUUGUAGGACUAUGAAAAUAAUCUAAGUGAAGCAUGAGAGAACAAUAGUUUCUAUAAAACAAAUCCACCACCGUGCCCUAAAAGAUAUAAGUGAAGCACUAGAGCAAAAACUAUAUAACUCGAAAGGUAUAAGUGAAGCACAUAGAGUAUUCUAACAAUUUCCGAAUCAUGUGUGUUUCUCUCAAAAGGUGUGUACAUCAAGGAUGAUUGUGGAAAACUAACAAAUAAAGACUCAGAUGAUACAAGACGCUCCAAGCAAAACACAUAUCAUGUGGUAAAUAAAAAUAUAGCUCCAAGUAAAGUUACUGAUGGAAGUAGACGAAAGAGGGGAUGCCUUCCGGGGCAUCCCCAAGCUUGGGCUUUUAGGUGUCCUUAGAUUAUCUUGGGGUGCCAUGGGCAUCCCCAAGCUUAGGAUCUUGCCACUCCUUGUUCCAUAAUCCAUCAAAUCUUUCACCCAAAACUUGAAAACUUCACAACACAAAACUUAAGGUAGAAAAUCUCGUGAGCUCCGUUAGCGAUAGAAAACAAAACACCACUUCAAAGUACUAUAAUGAACUCAUUCUUUAUUUAUAUUGGUGUUAAACCUACUGUAUUCCAACUUCUAUAUGGUUUAUAAACUAUUUUACUAGCCAUAGAUUCAUCAAAAUAAGCAAACAACACACGAAAAACAGAAUCUGCCAAAAACAGAACAGUCUGUAGUAAUCUGUAGCUAACGCAAGUUCUGGAACCCCAAAAAUUCUAAAAUAAAUUGUUAGACGUGAGGAAUUUAUCUAUUAAUCAUCUUGAAGAAGAAUUAACUAUAUAUCAAUAAAAAUGGCAGCAAUUCUCGUGAGCGCUAAAGUUUCUGUUUUUUACAGCAAGAUUAAGAAGACUUUCCCCAAGUCUUCCUAACGGUUCUACUUGGCACAAAAACUAAUUAAACACAAAAAACACAACCAAAAUAGAGGCUAGAUAAAUUAUUUAUUACUAAACAGGAGCAAAAAGCAAGGAAUAAAAAUAAAAUUGGGUUGCCUCCCAACAAGCGCUAUCCUUUAACGCCCCUAGCUAGGCAUAAAAGCAAGGAUAGAUCUAGGUAUUGCCAUAAUAAUAGGAUAGAUCAUUAAAACUCAUUUCAAAUUCUCUACGUGCGGCAGCAAGUUUUCUUUGAGGCAAGCAAAAUUAAUCGAAAGGGCUAAACUUAUUGGGACCAAAGUCCCCAAGAUCAACUUUAGGAGGUAUAGGUUCCUUCUUUGGCCCUUCGUAUUGCACAACUAAUUCAUCAUUAUAAGCAUUCUUUUGACAGAACUUCGUAUUGCACAACUCGACGAAUGGAGAGCCACUAUCUGAAGCCUUGUUGCGGUGGCCAACAAAGACGAACCAAGUCCGGUGAGGCCCCCGGGUCGACGCUCCGAUGGAGUCCCGCGGACCAAUGGCGGAAAAGCCGGCGGCACCGCGACCACGGUGCAUUCACCUCUUCCCCAUCCGGUACCACGGACGCUGGCUCGUCGCGACGUCGCGGGCAAUGCUAUCUCCAUAGCAUCGUCUGACCCGCGGACCCACUGUGACCAGCGCCAAGUUCUUCGGGAACGAGCCCAUGAAGACGCUCGAGCCACUAUCGAGCACCGGCGCGGAGCGCGCCACCAGUCAGAUAGGCGAGCAGGGCCUGCUGUGAACCACCCGGCCCCGGAGAGCCCUGGAGGCCUACCUUACGAGGUAGGCUGUCCGGCUUUUACCCAUGAGUUGCGGCAGUUCCAGUGGCCCACUCACCACACCUUCAAACCUGAUGUUGGCGAAAAGUACAAUGGCAAGACUCACCCGUCUGAGUUCCUCAGCAUCUACACCAUCGCGAUGCAAGCCGCCGGAGCCCGCGACAAUAAGGUGCUUGCGAAUUACUUUCCAUUGGCUCUUAACCCAACGCCAUGUCGUGGUUGAUGCACUUGCCGGUAGACUCUAUUUCCUCCUGGUCGGAUUUGUGCCAUGAGUUUGUGGGCGCCUUUACUGGGGGUCACCAAGCCCAUGGCCAAGCAAGCGACCUACAUGUCAUUCCCCAGAAGGGAGGCGAGAGUCUGCGCAAGUAUAUACAGAGGUUCAGUCGGGUACAGUACAACAUCCCUGAUGUUCACCCUGCCGCCAUCAUCAGCGCGUUCCAUCAGAACGUGCGUAACCGCAAGAUGCGCGAAGAAUUGGCAAUGAACAAGGUGAAAGAUGUGGCGGAACUCUAUGUUCUUGCUGACAGAUGUGCCCGAGCUGAAGAGGGAAGGACGUACCCCGGCGAAGAUGCCGACGUGGAAACUGACUCCUCAGAUGAGGAUACUGCCGCCCCGGUGAAGAAAGGCCGGCGCCGCAACAGGAAGCGCAAAGGUAAGGCUGUGCUUGCCAUCGAGGGAUCUGAUGACGCCGGCUCCGCCAAGAAAACCAAGGCAGAUGACCCCGGCAAGGAAAUUGCCGGAUGUGUCGCCUGCCGGGCCUUGGCGGCUGCCGAGAAGCCAGGAAACUCCGACAAGCAAUACUGCAAGAUCCAUCGCACCAAAGGCCAUGAUCUCCAGAACUGCCGACAAGUCGAGCUCCUUGCUGAGAAGCAGAGGGCUGAAUAUGAGAGGCGGGACAAGGAGAAAGUCUAGGACGGUGCUGAGGGGUCCGACAAGAAGCGUAACGGCCAGGCGGGCCGUCGCGGCAAAGAUAAACAGCAGGAGAGGCCUGCCCGGGGCCGUGACAAAAAGGCAGAAGACAAUGAUCACGAACAGGACGAUGAGUCUGGUGACCAAGAAUUUCAGAAGGCUACAGAGGCCAUGUGCGUCGAUGGCGGCGCCUCGCUGCAUACCUCUCACCGCCAGCUUAAACAGUGGGCGUGUGAGAUUACAGCGGCGGAACCGUCGUUUCAUGCCCAAAGGCCGCUGAAGUUGUCCAGCACACCCAUCAUUUUUGACACUGAGGAUCACCCUGAUUGCACUACUGCAGUCGGGUGCUUGCCAUUGUUGGUUUGACCAACAAUACGCAACCUCAAGGUGACAAAGAUGCUAGUCGAUGGUGGGGGCCGGUCUAAACUUAAUCUCGCCUGCCGUGAUCGAUAAAUUACAAAUUCCUGAUGAAGACCUCGAAGAGACGGGCACGUUUCAGGGGGUCAACCCGGGAAGAAGUCAACCAAAGGGAAAGGUCAUGUUGCCCGUGACUUUUGGGAGUGAUCUGAACUACAGGACAGAAAGGAUUGUGUUCGACGUUGCCAAGAUCCCCUUGCCUUACAACGGGAUCCUUGGCCGCCCAGCGUUGGCCAAGUUCAUGGCGGUGUCACAUUACGCCUACAACACCCUGAAGAUGCCGGGGCCUGAUGAUCAUCACCGUCCCGUCAGACAUGAAGGAUGCGCUAAUUUGCGCUGACCAACUCUACCAACAAGCAGUUGCAGCAGCCGCCACUGCUAAGGCGCUUGCUCCUGCCGCUGGAGCCCCGGGAAGGCGAAAGAAGAAGACCGGUGAGACCUCAGGCACCCACUCCGGUAAGCGCACCUCUUCGGAGUGUGGCGCUCCUGUCGAGGACGUGCCAGAAAGCUCCGCCGACAGAAACAAGAAGUCCAGGGCCACGCCACCGGGAACCAAGAAGGUUUUUGUCAAGGAGGAUGGCACGGGAGGAGCUUUUACCAUAAGCUCCACCCUUAACAACAAAUAGGAAGACGCGCUCGUCACCUUCCUACGGGCGAAUGUCGAUGUGUUUGCAUGGCAAGCAUCGGACAUCCCCGGCGUUCCCAGGGAGGUGAUUGAGCACCACUUUGUUGUCUAUCCUCAUGCGCGGCCUGUCAAGCAGAAGGUAAGAAAGCAAGCUUUGGAACGACAAGAGUUCAUCACAGAGGAGAUCCGGAAACUGGAAGCAGCGGGUUUGGUAAGAGGAGUGCUCCAUCUGACAUGGUUGGCCAAUCCGGUGGUAGUGCGCAAGGCAAAUGGGAAGUGGAGGUUGUGUAUUGAUUACACAUAUAUUAAUAAGGCUUGUCCCAAAGACCCCUUCCCGUUGCCGCGCAUCAACCAGAUUGUUGACUCCACAGCUGGGUGUGAUUUGUUGUCAUUCCUCGAUGCCUACUCCGGCUACCACCAGAUCUUCAUGACAAGGUAAGAUGAAGAGAAAACGGCAUUCAUCACCCAUGCGGUACGUAUUGCUUUAUACAGAUGCCUUUCGGGUUGAAGAGUGCUGGUUCAACGUUUGCAAGGGCGGUCCAGAUUGGUUUUGAACCCCAGCUCCAUAGAAAUAUGGAAGCUUAUAUGGAUGAUAUAGUGGUCAAAACCAAGAACAGGGCAACCCUCAUAUCAGAUCUACAAGAAACAUUUGCAAACCUACGCAAGAUCAAUCUCAAGCUGAACCCUGAGAAGUGCGUCUUCGGCGUUCCGUCUUGCAAGCUUCUCGGGUUCUUUGUGUCACAGCAUGGGAUAGAGGCCAAUCCGGACAAUAUCAAAGCUAUAGAGCAGAUUGAAGCACCCAAGCAAGUCAAGGAUGUGCGUCGGCUUGCUGGUUGCGUUGCCUCCAUGAGCAGGUUCAUUUCCAAGUCCGCCGAGCGCGCCCUUCCUUUUUUUCAAGAUUUUGAAAAAGGCGGGCCCGAUGGAGUGGACACCAGAAGCCGAAGCAACAUUGCGAGAUUUGAAGAGGUACCUCUCCUCCGCGCCAAUACUAGUUCCGCCUAGGCCACAGGAACCGUUGCUGCUGUACCUGGCGGCAACGAACCAGGUGGUCAGCGCUGCACUAGUGGUGCAGAGAGAAAUUGAUGAUGAGGUAAUAGUAGCGACGGAGCCCGAUGCCACCGAUGCCGAGACGACGCAGCCAAUUGAAGUGCUGCCGAAGAAGAAAAUGAUGCAGCACCCGGUCUACUUUGUUAGUUCCCUCCUGCAGGGGGCUAAAUCGAGGUACUCCGGUGUGCAGAAACUGCUCUUCGGCCUUCUUAUGGCCUCGAGGAAGCUGCAUCACUACUUCCAGGCGCACGAAAUCACUGUCGUCACUCGCCUCCCUCUGCAACGGAUAUUGCACAAUCCAAACACAACGGGAAGGAUCGUAGAGUGGGCACUGGAACUGUCCAGCUUUGGCCUCAAGUUUGAGAGUACCUCGAUGAUUCAAAGCCGAGUCCUGGCGGAGUUCAUUGCAGAAUGGACCGCGACGCCUGACGAAGAAACCCAAGAGACUGCUCUCCCCGGCAAGGAGGCAAGUUGCGACUGGAUCAUGUACUUUUAUGGAGCUUUCUCCUUACAGGGCGCCGGGGCUGGCAUACUGCUUGUCGCGCCCACCGGAGAGCACCUCAAGUACGUGAUCCAGAUGCACUUCCCCAGGGAGGUGUCAACAAACAAUACGGCUGAGUACGAAGGGCUUCUUGCAGGUCUUAGGAUCGCGGCGGACCUUGGAAUCAAGAAACUCAUCGUCAGAGGCGACUCGCAACUUGUCGUCAAGAAAGUCAACAAGGAUUACCAGAGCCCGUUGAUGAAGGCCUACAUCAAUGAAGUGAGAACGCUGGAAGAGCAUUUUGACAGUAUACAGGCAGAAUACGUUCCCCGAGUGAAGAAUGAUAUCGCCGAUUACCUGUCAAAACGCGUUGCCCUCAAGCUACCUGUGGAACCAAGUACCUUUGUGCUUCGGCUAACUCAGCCAUCUGUUGAUCCAUCAACAGAGCAGAACAAGAGGAGAAAAUCAGAGCCCGACAAGUACUUUCCCGCCGAGCUACCCGAAGCCGCCGGCAAGGAUGUUGCCGGAGACACUGAGCCUGCCACAGGACGGCUAGCUCCGACAGAGCAUCAAGCUCUUGCCGUCGAGACAGCCACUCCUGUAGCGGAGGAAAUGCCUUUAGUCCUUGCCGUCGAGCCCCAGGCUCCAGCGUGGGCACAGCAUACCGUCCGAUUCCUCCAAACAGGGGAAUUUCCUGAGGAGCAGGAAGAAGCGGAAAAAGUAGCCCGUCGCUCUACUAUGUACCAGUUCGUCGAUGACGUCCUGUACAGAAAGAGGCUGAACGGCGUGAAAUUGAAGUGUAUCCCUCAAGAGGAAGGACUGGGGCUGUUGGCGGAGAUACAUGGAGGCAUAUGUGGAUCCCACAUCGCGUCAACGGCCCUUGCCGGCAAAGCGUUUCAGCAAGGUUUCUUCUGGCCCACCGCCCUCUAGGAUGCGAUGACACUAGUCACCAGGUGUGAAGCGUGUCAGUUCCAUUCAAAGAAGCUUCAUCAGCCAGCUCAAGCCCUUCAAACCAUUCCUCUCUCCUGGCCAUUCUCGGUCUGGGGGCUCGACAUACUGGGCCCUUUCCCUCGCGCUGUCGGGGGCUUUGAGUACAUGUACAUUGCAAUCGACAAGUUCACAAAGUGGCCAGAAGUGGAAGCAGUGAGGAAGGUCACAGCACAGUCAUCCGUCAAGUUCUUCAAAGGACUGGUGUGCCGUUUUGGUGUACCCAAUAGGGUUAUCACCGACAACGGCAUGCAGUUCACAAGACACACCUUCAUGCAAUAUAUUCAAGACCUCGGCAGCAAAGUCCGUUUCACUUCCGUUGCUCACCCACGAAGCAAUGGUCAAGCUGAGAGGGCGAAUGCUGAAGUACUGCGAGGCCUGAGGACAAAGACCUUUGACAGACUGUGCAAGAGUGGAAGGCGCUGGAUUGAUGAAUUACCGGCGGUUCUUUGGUCAAUCAGAACGACACCAAAUCGAGCCACCGGCCAGACACCCUUUGCCCUGGUAUACGGGGCAGAAGCAGUUCUCCCCACGGAACUCAUAUACGGGUCACCUCAAGUACUCGCUUAUGACAAGCUUGAGCAAGAGCAAUUGCAGCAAGAUGACGCAACGCUCCUUGAGGAAGAUCGUCUUCGGGCGGCUGUGAGAGCAGCGCGCUACCAGCAAGCCUUGCGUCGCUACCAUAGCCGCAAGGUUCAUGCCCGAAGCUUUGAGGAAGGCGACCUUGUUCUUCGGUGCGUUCAAUCGGCCAAGAAUUCCAACAAGUUGACGCCAAAGUGGGAAGGCCCUUAUCGGGUAAUACGAGUCACCAGGCCCGGCGCAGUCCGCCUGGAGACUGAAGAUGCCGUUCCGGUGAGUAACUCCUGGAACAUUGAGCAUCUUCGCAAGUUUUACCCGUGAGGCGCGGCUUGCCGGGCCCCCGGGCAAGCCACCUUUUGUACGAGCCUUGCCGAUGACGCAUGUAACCCUUUGUACAAAGACAGGCGCAAACCCUGAGCAUAAGUAAAUGAAGCGCUGGCGCCCUAAGUUAUAACAUGCAUGCUAGGUCGAGUCUCAUCCUUGGUUAGGGUUGAUAGUGCUUAGCGGCGACUAAGCCCUAGCUUAGAGGUCGAGUGUGCGUCUCUUUGUCUUUCUUUUGUCUUCUUUGGUUCACAGGACACGCAGAUAUCCGUGACGAACCACUUGGGGAGAAAAAAAAAAGAGGAACAGACCAGCAUCUAGCCCCCGGCAAGCCAGUAUUGCCGGGGGCUGCAAGAGCAAAGAUUCACCCACGGCGAACCAGGGUUGCCGGGGACUACAGCUUCAGAUAAGUUCUUCAUCCCUUAUCAUGCAUUCCAUUAUGGACUGAGGUAUGUGAAACCUCGUUUUCCCCCAAGCUCCCGUGCUCCCCUAACUCUAGGCCCUAGGGCUCGUUCCUGGGGCCAAGUUGGGUCGUAGUCGCGACAGCGAAAGGAUGAAACAAGGAGCCUGAACCCGCCUCAUCCCUGCCUCCGCCAAAGGCGCGAGGAAGGUCGAGUGAAGUGGGGAGACGGCAAGGCCUGUUGCCGGGCAAGGAAAUGUUUAUCUUGAAGAUAUCAAGGAUUUACUCCUUGUCAUGGGUUCCACCCGCAAACAAAUGACCCGGCAAGCAUCCCUUUUUCAUUAAAAAAACAUUCCACUCAGGUACAGUCCAUAGGGAAUGAAAAAUAUGAAUGAUGGUAUUACAAGUUUUAAAUUCAACAAAGGCCCGAAGGCUUACAAACUAAAAAGAGAUAAGGUGCCCGUAAUCCCUUUCUUGUCCCUCUCCUCAGGAGGAAGGUCAAGGAGGUGAAAAGGAUAAAAGGAGUGCCUAGGCGAGCUACGGGUGGCAGAAGACACCAAGAGAACAUCUUGGUGGUCGUCCAAAGGCUGGAUGGUGAUGGCGGCGCCGGAAGCAGAGCUCGAAGACAAGGCGGCAGGACGUCAGCAUGCGUCGAAGGCAUUGGUGCCCGCGUACUCCGACUUGACGGCCUUGCCGCCCGCCCUCUUCCUCUUCUGCAGCCUCCUAAUGCCAGCCGCCCAAGGAGACGACCCCGAGAAGUUCAGGGAGCCGGCGACGCGGAUGAUGGGGUCGCCGGUGCCGCACGGAGCGGCACCCGACACCUAAUCAGACUCGUCAUCCUGCAGCCUACUACCCUUGUCGUCGCUGCCGCUGUCCUCCUCGUCACUCCCGCCCGAGGAAGAGCUCUCCACGCAGCACCUUGCACGGGUCCCAAAGCACCCAAAGACCUUGACGGAGAGAAGGCCACCCUCCAUCAGCUUAAAAUGGAGAGUGAGCCCCUCCGUCAAGCGGUGGAUAUGAGCAAACGUCUUCCAUCCCCGACAAAGAUACAUCACGUGAGGGGCGGGGAAGUCGACGCGGACCCGCGUGCCACUGAUCCCGCGGCCCCUCAUGUGCAGCCGCAACAAUUCCGGCGGAUCCAGCUCCAUCUCCCACGCAAAUGGAGUCGGGAGACGAAGGCGACGGCGCGGCGGCCGGCGCAGCCUGACGAAGAACUCACAAGGGUCAUCCCCAACAUGGCCCUCCAUUGGAGGAGGAGCUGCUGGCGGAGGCGAGGCCGGCGCGCCGCCCCGUCCUCCUCUUCCCCGAGCGCCCCGGCCUCGCCCACGGCCUCGCCCCCUCCCCCUUCCCCUCGCGGUUGGCUCUGCCACCGCAGGCGCAGGAGAAGGAGGGACGCGUUGUCGAGCGGCGACCCUCGCCGCCACUGUUGAAGGACCGGGAUUCCCUCUCUCCAUGACGGAUGGAAGGGAGGAGCAGAAGCUGAAGGAAGAAGAAGAUGAAAGAAUGCGGGACGCCAUCCCCCCCUCCUGCUCUUUAUAAAGGAUCGGGGUUGGGGCUCGGCCGCCCCGCUCGAACAAUCAAGAUACGGAAGGCGCAGGGAGCCAGGACCGACCCGCCACCCCAACCAGCGACGGCCCGGUUUCUCGCCUCCACCGUUUGCCACCCCAGGCGCAUGGGAGACAAGUGGCGGACGUGCAGAACCGAGGGGACGGGUGAGACGACCACUCCCCACCCCGUGAUCGUGGGGAGUGGACGCCUUGAAGACCGUGCCUCAACCCCAUUCAGUAAAUGGGCUGCGCCUCCACGCCUCCCUCCGUUUAUGGGGAAGGCGCGAACCGCCCCUUUACUACGAUGUGACACAUGCCUGCGGGAACCAACCCCACGCAUGCCGCCCACGUCACACGCGCCUCCCCACGCCGCGCCACGUGCGGGAGUCGUGGGAAGCGCAGCGCGCGAAGAAUCUUACCGCGGUAAAAACCGCCCCGCCUGCCCGCGCACCAUUUUUGGGCCUAGCCCAACAACGCGUUGCGCUUAUGUGUGGCCGAGGCCCGGGGGCUCCUGUCGGUGUACAAAAAGAGGGGUACACUUUUUGUACCCCUAUAACUGUGCACGGGCAGUCUAAGCCACGGGCACCACCACACCAAGCAAGGCAAGGGAGGUGAGCCAGGGUAAGACCGAAGCUCAAGAGAACUACGACGCCAAGUCCAAGACCACGAAGAGCAAAGGGGACGAAGCGGACUCCCCUGGCAAAAUCCUUGUCGGGAGACAGUUCUAGCAGCCCCGGCAAGACCCUUGUCGUGGCGACUCGUCCCGCGCCUACGGAGCAAAUCACCCUUGAGUCCACUGCCCCCAAAGGGCAAGGAUUCAGGAGACAUCCCCGUGGCGGCAUGCAGAUCUUCGUGAAGACAUUCAAGAUCAGAUAUGCACUAAGGAGACGACAACCCUUGGCGGGAUCCCAGCCGAGGAAGACCACAAGGCCCUCGGCAAGCGCCUUGCCAGGGAUGACAGCAGGCGCCCCGGCAAGGCCCUUACCGAGGACACCCGCAGGGCCACCAUCUGGCCCACGCCGACUAAACCUCCACCGCCAUUCGCAUGCAACUGCCGAUCCAACUAGCUGGGCAGGCACCUGCGUGGAGGCAUGCAGAUCUUCGUGAAGACCCACCACUGCACCACCUCAGCUGCCUGCCUACCUACGUGGCAUCGCAGGCGUCGCUGGCCAGGGCGCGUGUCGACACAAGAAGGAGCGGCGACGGACGAGACAGGUUUCUCCCCCAUCCCCGAUAAAGCAAGGACACCUAAUCAAGACGCAUUAAAUGCGCCUUGUCAUGUAAUGCGAGGGAUAACCUCGCAUCACUAUUCCCUUUCCACCUCGUGUGUGCCACUGUGGCAUCCCCUUUUUCUAUAAAAGGAGGCCCGAGGCGACCAGGAGAAGGAUUCGGCUUUUUGGAGCUCCUCACGCCCCAUAGCUAACUCAAGAACAUAGAUAUACAAUCCACCAAAGCAGGAGUAGGGUUUUACGCAUCCUCGUGGCCCGAACCUGGAUAAACGAACCGUGUGCUACCUGUUAGAUCCACUCUUCUCACGACCCCGCGCCCCGCUAACCAUAGUAGGGAUUCUUGUGAUCCCAUAGGUGUCCUCCCCACCGACAGUGCAUCAAGGACAUAAUACUUCUGUUCAGCAAUGAGGAUAAUCCUCAGAUCAUGGAGCUAGUCCGCAUCACUGCUACUAACAACUUUCAACUUAUAUUUCUCUAGGAACAUAUCAAAAAUAAACGGGGAGCUACAUCGCGAGCUAUUGAUCUACAACAUAGUUUGUAAAUACUAUCAGGACUAAGUUCAUGAUAAAUUAAAGUUCAAUUUAAUCAUAUUACUUAAAAACUCCCACUUAGAUAGGCAUCCCUCUAGUCAUCUAAAUGAUCACGUGAUCCAUAUCAACUAAACCAUGUCAGAUCAUCACGUGAGAUGGAGUAGUUUUCAAUGGUGAACAUCACUAUGUUGAUCAUAUCUACUAUGUGAUUCACGCUCGACCUUUCGGUCUCAUUGUUCCUAGGCCAUAUCUGCAUAUGCUAGGCUCGUCAAGUUUAACCCGAGUAUUCUACGUGUGCAAAACUGGCUUGCACCCGUUGUAUAUGAACGUAGAGCUUAUCACACCCGAUCAUCACGUGGUGUCUCGGCACGAUGAACUGUAGCAACGGUGCAUACUCACGGAGAACACUUGUACCUUGAAAUUUAGUGAGAGAUCAUCUUAUAAUGCUAAUGCCGUACUAAGCAAAAUAAGAUGCAUAAAAUAUAAACAUCACAUGUAAUCAAAAUAAGUGAUAGGAUAUGGCCAUCAUCAUCUUCUGCCUUUGAUCUCCAUCUCCAAAGCACCGUCAUGAUCACCAUCAUCACCGGCUUGACACCUUGAUCUCCAUCAAAGCAUCAUUGUCGUCUCGCCAACUAUUGCUUCUACGACUAUCGCUACCACUUAGUGAUAAAGUAAAGCAAUUACAUGGCGAUUGCAUUUCAUACAAUAAAGUGACAACCAUAUGGCUCCUGCCAGUUGCCGAUAACUUGGUUACAAAACAUGAUCAUCUCAUACAAUAAAAUUUAGCAUCAUGUCUUGACCAUAUCACAUCACAACAUGCCCUGCAAAAACAAGUUAGACAUCCUCUACUUUGUUGUUGUAAGUUUUACGUGGCUGCUACGGGCUUCUAGCAAGAACCGCUCUUACCUACGCAUCAAAACCACAACGUUUUUUCGUCAAGUGUGUUGUUUUAACCUUCAACAAGGACCGAGCGUAGUCAAACUCGAUUCAACUAAAGUUGGAGAAACAGACACCCACUAGCCACCUGUGUGCUCAUGAACGUGGUCAUGUAAUGUCGGUCUAGGCCGCUUCAUCCAACAAUGCCGCUGAAUCAAAGUAAAACAUUGCUGGUAAGCAGUAUGACUAUUAUCGCCCACAACUCAUUGUGUUCUACUCGUGCAUAUAACAUCUACGCAUAGACCUGGCUCUGAUGCCAUUCUUGGGGAACACAAUAUUCCAAAAAAUUUACCUACGAUCACACAAGAUCUAUCUAUGAGAUGCAUAGCAACGAGCGGGGAGAGUGUGUCCACCUACCCUCGUAGAUCAAAAGUGGAAGCGUUUAGCAACACGAUUAAUGUAUUUGAACGUCUUCGCGAUCCAACCGAUCCAAGCACCAAGUGUAGGGGCGCGCCUAGUGUAGGGAGUCCUACUAGGACUCCUAAGUCCUAGUAGGAUUCCCUUUCCUUUUUGGAGUAGGAAAGAGGGAGAGGAAGGGGAGGGGGAAGGAAAGAGUGGGUUGCGCCCCCACCCCUUGUCCAAUUCGGUUUGGGCAGGGGGGAGGUGCACGCCACCUUGUGGCCCUUCUUCCCUCUCUCCACUAAAUCCCAAUAAGGCCCACUAACUUCCCCCAGCGAAUUCCCGUAACUCUCCGAUACUCCAAAGAAUACCCGAAUCACUCGGAACCAUUUCGAUGUCCAAAUAUAGCCUUCCAGUAUAUCGAUCUUUACCUCUCGACCAUUUUGAGACUCCUCGUCAUGUCCGUGAUCUCAUCCGGGACUCCAAACAAACUUCGGUCAUCAAAUCACAUAACUCAUAAUACAAAUCGUCAUCGAACGUCAAGCGUGUGGACGCUACGGGUUCAAAAACUAUGUAGACAUGACCGAGACACAUCUCCGGUCAAUAACCAAUAGCAGAACCUGGAUGCUCAUAUUGGCUCCUACGUAUUCUACAAAGAUAUUUAUCGGUCAAACCGCAUAACAACAUACUUCAUUCCCUUUUUCAUUGGUAUGUUACUUGCCCGAGAUUCGAUCGCCGGUAUCAUCAUACCUAGUUCAAUCUUGUUACCUGCAAGUCUCUUUACUCGUUCCAUAAUGCAACAUCCCGCAACUAACUCAUUAGUCACAUUGCUGGCAAGGCUUAUUGUGAUGUGCAUUACCAAGAGGGCCCAGAGAUGCCUCUCUGAUACACGGAGUGACAAAUCCUAAUCUUGGUCUAUGCCAACUCAACAAACACCAUCGGAGACACCUGUAGAGCAUCUUUAUAAUCACCCAGUUAUGUUGUGACGUUUGAUAGCACACAAAGUGUUCCUCUGGUAUUCGGGAGUUGCAUAAUCUCAUAGUCAGAGGAAUAUGUAUAAGGGCAUGUUCUGAAUCUCUCCCAACUCCACCAAAUCUGCAGCUUCUACUUCUCUGGCGAGCUUCUCACUCCACGCAGCGAUCAAAAAACGUUCCGGAGCUAUGGCAGCUUCUCCCCUCGCUGCAGCCCAACUGGGAGGCAAAAAACCUGCUGGGCGCCCCUUUGGGCUGGCUGGAAGCAACCCAAUUCAGCAGCUGGAUGUCUAGAGGCCGAAAAAGAAAACCAAGACAUGCUGGGCUGCUCAUGUGGUGAUGGCUGGCCUUAUAACAUGCACACUUUUUUCCAGUAGCUAUUUCCAACAAUUUUGGCUUUACAGGAACAUGUACAGAGAGCAUUUCUUGGGUACAUGGAGCAACAGAUGUACAACAAACAUGUAUUUUUUUGAAAGAUCCCAAAUUUUCUCAGCUAACAUAAGUUAUAAUUUAGUAGAAAAACUAGUUCUAUCAUGUGUCAUACAACAAAAGCUCCAUUUGCAUAUAAGUUUGCAAAUCAAUAUGGUCACACAUCUAAAAUCACGAACAUGAUUACUUCACCAACUAAGAGCAAUGGCGGUAGCUAGUUCAUGCCUAAACAAAUCCAUGUUAGGAGCACUUGCCGCCAUUGUUGAAGCAUCCGAUGCAUUUGAAGGAAUAGCAUACUUCUUGUAUCUAUCAGGAAUAGUUGGAACAUAAUCCGGAUCCCUCUCACACCGAAGGAAGUGGAGAUCCUCUUUGUCAUGGAGGCGGACGUAGUUGUGUAGUGUCAUGGUAGCCCCAAUAAUCAUUUUUUGUGUUACAAUCGAGUAGUUUGGCAUCUUGAGCAAUAUUUGCCAUUUCAUCUUCCACACACCAAAGGUUCUCUCUAUGGUAUUGCGCUUGGAAGAGUGGAUCCGGUUGAACUUCUCUAGGGGAGUAGUUGGGGGCGCACCUCUUUGGAAGUCGGGGACGUGAUAUCGUUCUCCUUUGUAGGGUGCUAGAUAGCCAUCUCUGUUAGGAUAACCGGCGUCUACAAGGUAAUACUUGCCUACAGAAAGUAACAACAAACAUGAUUGUGAGUUGGAGGAUAUGUUACAUAAGUUGCAACAACAAGAAAUACUAACCCUUGGGAGGAUGUGGGAAUGUGGCCUUGUCAUUUUCAAUAGCAUGGAAUAGCACACUUGUGUCAUGCAUAGAACCCGGUUGUCCAAUUGAAGCGUAGGUGAAAUGCAUAUCAAAGUCGCAUACUGCCAUCACAUUUUGAGUUGUUGCACCCGUUCUUCCAAUGUACCUUACUUUUGAAGGUCCCUCCGGAAUAGAAGCCCUAACAUGUGUCCCAUCUAUUGCACCAAUGCAGUCUUUGAGGUGAGGAUAAGCCCUUUUGUCACGCUUAAUCCUAUCAUGCACAAUGUGAAAAUUUGGGUCUUGAGGCCUAAUGUAGUGAGAUGACAUCUUGAUCACACAAUGUGGAACCUCAUGGAACUUACGAUGGACUGUAUCCGCUCCAUGUUUAAAACGGUUUUGGGUUCUUCUAUUUGAUUCACAACCCCCCAAGGUCUACAAGAACAUAGCAAGAGACUCAUAAGUGGUAAUAAAGCAUGUUUCUUUGAGGCCGUACUCCGCCACCAACUUGUCAUGAAGAUCAAAGAACACAUGUGCAUUCAUUCUCAACAUUGUGUACGUCUCUCCAGGUGUGCAAAUAGUCUGUUGCACCCAUUCAAAACCAGUCAACCUAGAUGUCCUAGGAUUGGCCUUCAUGACCCAACUUUUACAAUACUUACCAACUAUGGAUGACACACCUGAACAACGCAUGUCCAUAUCAUGUUGAUAUUGGAAAACCAUAAUUUUCUUUCUUUCAUAAUGAAUGUCAUCAUCACUUUCACUAUCCGAUGACAUCUGCAUAUAAACAAUCACCAAAAUAUGAAACACAAGUUAGCACCAAUUGGAUCGACAACAUAAGAAUAAUGCAUACAUAAAUAGCAAACACUAGGCUGAACAACAUAGACAUAAAAGAUGGUUCCACAGUGCGUACAUAAAUAGAUGGAAUAGUAUCAAGUAGUUCCCAUACUUUAAGAAGUAGGUUCAACAUAAAAGACACAAAUAGUUUUGAGAGCAAAGGAUAAUCGACCAUCUCACAUAGAUGGAAUGUAAAGUAACUACUUCCCAUACUUCAACUCAUACUUCCUACGCAACCAACCCUUUCGAGAGUCAAGAGGCAUGUAAAGAAACAUCUCCCUUUGCGCCCUCUUCACAAACAAUUCGCUAGCCAUGAAGAACUCAUCGCUAUCAACUGCUGCACCACAAGCAAUGACUUCAUCCAUGACCGAGGUGACACAGUUCGCCUCAUCUUGCUUUAGGAAAGACUGAAAUGAUGAGUGAGAAGCCUCGGCAAUGUCACCAAUCCUUCUAACUUGCUCACACAUCACUUG
rnacentral:lncRNA from 1 species